UACUACGGUCAUGCCACCCUGAACGUGCCUGAUUUCGUCUGAUCUCGGAAGCUAAGCAGAGUUGGGCCGGGUUAGUACUUGCAUGGGAGACCACGUAGGAAUACCAGGUGCUAUAAGUGU
rnacentral:rRNA from 1 species